rnacentral:lncRNA from 1 species
CACGCUUGCUGUGUCCUGCAGGAGCCAGGCCUGGGGGUGGACUUCAUUCGUCACAAUGCACGAGCUGCCAAGAGAGCCCCCCGGAGGCAUUCCUGCUCACUGCAGGUCCUGGCACAAGUGCUAGAGCAGCAGCGGCAGGCCCAGGAGCACUACAAUGCCACGCAGAAGGGCCAUGUGCCACAUUAGUAGGUCUCACUGCCCGACACUCAGGGUGAAGGACACCUGUGGAGGGUGGGAACCAACCUCUGCCCUCGGGUCAUCAACUCUGAGCCUGUGUACCCACAGCUUGUUGGAGCGCAGGGACCUGUGGCGGCGGGAGGCCGAGGCCCGCAAGCAGAGCCAGCCGGACCCUGCCAUGCCCCCAGGCCACACGCGCAUGCCUGAGAACCAGCGGCUGGAAACACUGACCAAGCUGCUCCAGAGCCAGAGCCAGCUGCUGCGUGAGCUGGUACUGCUGCCUGCUGGGGC